UCCGCGCGCUGCAGUGACGUUUGCAUCCGCGAGAGUGACUGGAGUCUGAGCGCGCGGCGGAGCGGCGGGACACGGCCUCAACAGAGAGACCCACCAUGCGUGAAUAUAAGCUUGUGGUCCUGGGCUCUGGAGGCGUGGGGAAGUCUGCACUGACAGUUCAGUUUGUACAGGGAAUAUUUGUUGAAAAAUAUGAUCCCACAAUAGAAGACUCAUAUAGAAAG